UACGUAGGGUGCGAGCGUUAAUCGGAAUUACUGGGCGUAAAGCGUGCGCAGGCGGUUCGUUAAGUCAGAUGUGAAAGCCCCGGGCUCAACCUGGGAACUGCAUUCGAAACUGGCGGGCUUGAGUAUGGCAGAGGGGGGUGGAAUUCCGCGUGUAGCAGUGAAAUGCGUAGAGAUGCGGAGGAACACCGAUGGCGAAGGCAGCCCCCUGGGCCAAUACUGACGCUCAGGCACGAAAGCGUGGGGAGCAAACAGG
rnacentral:rRNA from 1 species